GUGGAUUAGAUACCCUGGUAGUCCACGCCGUAAACGAUGGAUACUAGCUGUUGGGAGCAAUCUCAGUGGCUAAGCGAAAGUGAUAAGUAUCCCACCUGGGGAGUACGUUCGCAAGAAUGAAACUCAAAGGAAUUGACGGGGGCCCGCACAAGCGGUGGAGCAUGUGGUUUAAUUCGAUGAUACGCGAGGAACCUUACCAAGGCUUAAAUGUAGAUUGACCGAUUUGGAAACAGAUCUUUCGCAAGACAAUUUACAAGGUGCUGCACGGCCGUCGACAACU
rnacentral:rRNA from 1 species